AAUAUGCUGACUGCAAAUGACUACAGGAGACAGAAUUCCACUUUCCCAUUCAAUUUACAGUGCCUCUUAUUUAUAUACCAGUCAGUGUAUCAUUAAGUUUGAUCAUGUGACCAACUGAACUUUUGUGAGGUGAAAAACUAUUUUAGACAAGCAAAUUUAAACAACACUGGUUUUUAUUGUUUAUCUUUUCAUAAUGGCUGACAGGGCUUAUAGCUUGAGGUUAUAAAAUAUAUUUUAAAAUCAAUUCUGUAUUUUAAAUACUAACCACAUUUUCACCAGUCGUUUGACUUAAUAUCUGCUACUAAAUUUUAAAAGGAUCCAGUAUCUCCAAGUAUUUUCAAUGGUUAUAUAUUUUCAAAAUAUAAACACAUAUGUAUAAAACAGAGUAAUUACAAAAGGGAAUCUAGGUAAUCUAAAAUAAGUAUACCUAAAUAUUAACCAAACUGAUUAAAGAAAAUUCCACAGCAGAGAGUGAGGUAAAUAAAAAAGGGAAUACGCAGAUUAAAAAUAACAUUUGAAACCCUCAAAGAAGAAAAAGCACGUAGACAAAAAAAGCUAGGUGAAUAUCAACUGACACUAUAAAACUUUAUACCAUUUUUUUUGCACAAUUUUCCACCUGUUACCAGAUCAUACAAUGUGUAGACAUUUAGGUUCAUUUUUGAGAACAGAACACAAAAAUAAACAGUACAACUUAUCGUUAAUCAGUAAGAGAGACGGUCUUUUAAAACGGGGGGGGGCGGGAGCGAAAAAUUUACUCUUGGGACAAAUACCCAAUAAAGUUUACAUGACGUCACUGAGCCCCUGAACAUUCCCUAAACUUUGAGUCUUAUCCAGACACACUUUUUGCCUCUCUAAGGCUUCUUCCCCUUCCUCAAAAAUAAAAAAAAAAGAGAGAGAGACUUGGGAAUAAAAAUUGCCCAAGAUGGCGAAACGCUUGUUGUUUAGAGGGCAGAGGGAAAAAAAUGGAGGAUAUUGUAAUAUACACAAAGGGAUAAAUUUCCACAACUCGGCCAAGGGCUGCAGCUGCUUCUCCCUUUACAAGGAAGCAACACACAAAAGAUAAAGACGCAGAGCCAGAAAAGAAGGGAAAAUCGCCCGACAGCAGGGCCAGCGCUGCCUCUCCCAGCAUUUCCUUCCUCCCCAAGUCCCAAUUCUGGGGUUCGUGGAACUACUCUAAGGGGAGGGGAGCCGCGAAAGGGAACGGGGGAGGGGGGCAAGAGGAUGAAAAGAGCCAAGAAGAGUUGAGAGCUGGCGGCGGCUCCCAGGGAGAACUGCUCCGAGACAUUACUGUGGGAACAGCUAGGCUCCUCUAGCCCCGUGUGUGCCGACAAAUAGACCUUCCAGCAAAACUGUUGGCGGCGACCUGAGCGCUGGGAGCCGAAGGAAGGAAGAAAGAGACGCCAGCCGGGCGGCCGAGCGGGGCGGCCGGCACAAAGGAGGCGGACUCGCGGCCGCAGCUGCCCGCGCCGGGGAGGCACGGCCCGCGGCCCUGCUGGACCGAAGUCCCGCACCGGCAGCUAGGAAUAAAGUUUACGUUCUCCUGAGACCGCACCCCCCCUCCUCCCACCCAGGACCGCGCAUCUCCGCGUCCUGCUCCCCCAAACUCCACUCGGGACCCCGAGCACCACCCCAGCCUCGCAGCCAGCACAACAAAGAGACACACCGACCGGCGAGCGUAAACAGCCGCGGCAGGGCGAGCAGGGCGGGCAGGGCGAGCGCCUCGAGGUAGCGUCUCCGGAGUCUCCCCCGCUCGCCGGAGCGUAGUUUCUCCUUUUCUGUUUCAACCAGCCUUACACUGGGAAUUUUCAUUUUCACCCGCGCCCCUCUUACCCGAGGAUUUUUAACUCACCUUUACUUUCGAACUGAGUUGCGGUGGAUGGGAUUUUUGUCUUCCCCGGAUGGUUGAAGGUUACGAUUUUUGUUUUUUUGGAAAGCCCAACACCUCCUUAUUCCUGUGAUUAUUUUUGCAAGAAAAGUAGAGAGUUGGAGUGGAGGUGAGACUGGUGAUCGGGAAAGCCCUGGACUCCCUCCUUCUCCGUCUUCCGCCUCGCUCUCUCUGAUUAGUUCCUAUCCAGCAGCAGAUUGAAGCAGGAGAUGAUUCUUCUCAAGGUUUGUUCAGCAGCUUCACUUCUAGGCGAAGGCUUCAUGAACCAAGUGACGUCAACCAACAAGGCUUCUCUCUCUCUCCUCUCUCUAACAAUGAAAGUUGCUGUUAACAAGGGAAAAAAGAGAGAAUUGUUUAUACCAUUUCACUUCCAAUAAUAAAUGACCUAUCAGCUCCUAAAGGAGCCAAGGGAGGGAGGGGGUUGCUUCUUCUUCCCAAGGAUACUGUAGCUUUAAGUUUGCACCGUUCCUGGUCCCAGGAAAAAGUUAGGAAACUUCAUGUUUUGUUUUGCUUUGCUUUUAAAAGCAGAGAGGACAGAAAAUGAGAUCGAAAACGGAAUUUUUCAAAAACGUAAACUGGAGAAUAGGGAACAUAGAUUAACCAUUUCCACCUAAACUUUUUUGUCCGUAAACUCAGAAUACGGUUUAAGUCCACAAGCCAACUAAAUUAAUAUGCCAAGAAUUCGUGGGUGUUUGGAAAUCAAAAUAAAAUAAAAAGAAGGACGCAAGAUUGUCCCGGGAUUAAACGCUACUGCCCUAACACGGGCAAGUUAAACUGUAAUGUUUAUGCAUGGAGUUAAAAUUUAAAUAAAACAUUUUAAAAUAGUAAA